rnacentral:tRNA from 1 species
GGGGUUGUAGCUCAGUGGCAGAGCGCUUGCCUAGCAUGUAUGAGGCACUGGGUUCGAUGUCUCAGCACUGCA